rnacentral:misc_RNA from 1 species
UCCCCCGUGAGGGGGCAGUCUCGCCUGACACUUGUAACAGGCAACGAGGGUUGCGUUCGUUACCCCACUGAAGGGAACGAUUCAAACCACGAACUGACGACAGCCAUGCAUCACCUGUCCUACACCCUCGAAGGCUUCCCGGCUUUCGCCGGGCGUGCAGUAGGAUUUCUAGCCCUGGUAAGGUUCUUCGCUUAGCGACGAAUUAAGCCACACGCUCCACCGCUUGUGCAAGCCCCCGUCUAUUCCUUUGAGUUUUAGCCUUGCGGCCGUACUACCCAGGCGGAUAACUUAACGCGUUAGCUUCGCCUCCCAGAGGGUCGAUACUCCGGAAAGCCAGUUAUCAUAGUUUAGGGCGUGGACUAC